rnacentral:rRNA from 1 species
GACGAACGCUGGCGGCGUGCUUAACACAUGCAAGUCGAACGGAAAGGCCCUGCUUUUGUGGGGUGCUCGAGUGGCGAACGGGUGAGUAACACGUGAGUAACCUGCCCUUGACUUUGGGAUAACUUCAGGAAACUGGGGCUAAUACCGGAUAGGAGCUCCUGCUGCAUGGUGGGGGUUGGAAAGUUUCGGCUGUUGGGGAUGGACUCGCGGCUUAUCAGCUUGUUGGUGGGGUAGUGGCUUACCAAGGCUUUGACGGGUAGCCGGCCUGAGAGGGUGACCGGCCACAUUGGGACUGAGAUACGGCCCAGACUCCUACGGGAGGCAGCAGUGGGGAAUAUUGCACAAUGGGCGGAAGCCUGAUGCAGCAACGCCGCGUGCGGGAUGACGGCCUUCGGGUUGUAAACCGCUUUCGCCUGUGACGAAGCGUGAGUGACGGUAAUGGGUAAAGAAGCACCGGCUAACUACGUG